rnacentral:rRNA from 1 species
UACAGAGGGUGCAAGCGUUAAUCGGAUUUACUGGGCGUAAAGCGCGCGUAGGUGGCCAAUUAAGUCAAAUGUGAAAUCCCCGAGCUUAACUUGGGAAUUGCAUUCGAUACUGGUUGGCUAGAAUAUGGGAGAGGAUGGUAGAAUUCCAGGUGUAGCGGUGAAAUGCGUAGAGAUCUGGAGGAAUACCGAUGGCGAAGGCAGCCAUCUGGCCUAAUACUGACACUGAGGUGCGAAAGCAUGGGGAGCAAACAGG